GAAAUGCGAUAAGUAAUGUGAAUUGCAGAAUUCAGUGAAUCAUCGAAUCUUUUAACGCACAUUGCGCCCCCUGGUAUUCCGGGGGGCAUGCCUGUUCGAGCGUCAUUUCACCACUCAAGCCUCGCUUGGUAUUGGGCGACGCGGUCCGCCGCGCGCCUCAAAUCGACCGGCUGGGUCUUUCGUCCCCUCAGCGUUGUGGAAACUAUUCGCUAAAGGGUGCCGCGGGAGGCCACGCCGUAAAACAACCCCAUUUCUAAGGUUGACCUCGGAUCAGGUAGGGAUACCCGCUGAACUUAAGC
rnacentral:misc_RNA from 1 species